CGGACGGGUAAAUCCUCUGUGAAAUCGUCGCGCUUCACGUGACGGCACGCAGGGGAAACUGCCCGUCUCGAGACCGGGAGGGGUCAGAGGUAUGCCGAGGGGACUGGUAAAAUGGUAUAAUCCACGGUAGACCACCAAUGGCGAAGGCAUCUGACUGGAACGGAUCUGACGGUGAGGGACGAAAGCUGGGGGAGCGAACCGGAUUGGAUACCCGAGUAGUCUCAGCUGUAAACGCUGUGAGCAAGGCUGUCGCCCCUCCCACGGGGAGGGGUGUCGAAACGAAGGUGCUAAGCUCACCGCCUGGGAAGUACGGUCGCAAGACUGAAACUUUAAGGAAUUGGCGGGGGAGCACUACAAGGGGUGCGGCGUGCGGUUCAAUUUAACUCAACGCAGAGAACCUCACUAGGAGCGACGGUAGGAUGAAGGCCAGGCUGGAGACCUUGCCCGACGAGCCGAGAGGUAGUGCAUGGCCGUCGUCAGCUCGUGCCGUAGGGUGUCCAGCUAAGUCUGGUAACGAGCGAGACCUGCGCCCACAGUUGCUAACGACACACGUGGAUCGUGCACACUGUGGGGACUGCUUCCGUAAGAAGAAGGAAGGUGCAGGCAACGAUAGGUCUGUAUGCUCCGAAUCUCCUAGGCUACAC
rnacentral:rRNA from 1 species